GUGGGGAAUCUUCCGCAAUGGACGAAAGUCUGACGGAGCAACGCCGCGUGAGUGAUGACGGCCUUCGGGUUGUAAAGCUCUGUGAUCGGGGACGAAUGGCUGGUGUGCUAAUACCACAUCAGAGUGACGGUACCCGAAUAGCAAGCCACGGCUAACUACGUGCCAGCAGCCGCGGUAAUACGUAGGUGGCAAGCGUUGUCCGGAAUUAUUGGGCGUAAAGCGCGCGCAGGCGGCUUCUUAAGUCCAUCUUAAAAGUGCGGGGCUUAACCCCGUGAUGGGAUGGAAACUGGGAGGCUGGAGUAUCGGAGAGGAAAGUGGAAUUCCUAGUGUAGCGGUGAAAUGCGUAGAGAUUAGGAAGAACACCGGUGGCGAAGGCGACUUUCUGGACGACAACUGACGCUGAGGCGCGAAAGCGUGGGGAGCAAACAGGAUUAGAUACCCCUGUAGUCC
rnacentral:rRNA from 1 species